GGGGUAUCACUACACAUUAACUAGAUUUUUUGUGCUGCACAAGGAUAAACUCAAAGGAACUGCAAGAGAAAUCUUAAAUUCUUCAGCUGAUGAAGGGAAGAUUAUGUUUGGUGAGGUAGUAUUUGGCAACCCCUCAAUUGGAUUUAACUGGAGAUCCAAUUUAGGUCAGGAAUUUAAGGAGGUGAUAGAAACGAAAUGGCAGUCAUUCCAGUUAAGAAAUUCCUCAACCAAAUAUCAAACUCAAAU
rnacentral:misc_RNA from 1 species